GUACGAGUGCUCGCGAGAGCCUUUCUACAAUAAGCGCAGAUUGAAAAACAAUUUAAGAAGCUUGCGACGAGAACUCGACUAGAUCGUGUGUGAGAGUAAUCCAAUCCCAAAGCGCAAACUGCAAGGAGCGUCACGGAAACACGAUGCCGCAAAAAUGUGACGGUCUUACAUAACGUUAUCUCUGUCUGUUAUCGACAACGUGAAAAUCUACUUGCUAACGAUGUGAGAGCACACGAGUGGAUUGAUUAUGAUGCCAGCACGUGGAAACACAAAUUACGAUACGUAAGCGAGUGCAUUAUCAUAUAUGCGUGGUAUUCUACGUGGAGUGAACUCGGAUUAAUAAAUUAACAUGAGAAAAUAGCGUAAAUGAAGAGACAUAAAUGAAUUUAUAAUGAGACAUACGUUAAUACUGUUAGCGUGGAUUAGCAUUUUUAUUACUAAUUUAAUAAAAUGUAAGGUAUUUGCUCGUCUUCGAGAGUUCGAUGUUUCAAUUCGAAUACAAAUGAUUAGCGUCUGAUAUGUAAGAGAAUUAUUUCAAAACUUCAUUAAAUAAUUUACCAUUUAAAGAAAUCACUGGCGAGAUUGGCGAGACAAAACGUCCGUAUUUCAAAUUAUUAUUAAUUUAACUUAUAAAAAGUUAAAUUUCUACUGGAGAGCAACUAACAUUGAUUAGCAGCAUUAAUGUAGUCCGCGAUGCAUUAAUAAUAAUUAAUUAAAAUGGAAUUUCGAUUUGCUGCCGAUUAUGCGUUUGACUAAUACAUUUUAAUGAGACGUUGCAAUAUUUAUUAAAGAAUUAAAUCAGGAAUUCGAUAACUGAAAAUAUAAAUGACUUGACAAAAUAUAUAUAAAAAAAUGUUCUAUUCUCUGAUCGUCCUUUGGACUUUGCGUUAUUUGCGAGGUCGGUAAUCAAGAUGUCGUCGGUGCAAGUGACUUUGAGUCAAUUGCUCCGAUCUCAGCUGACGUUUGACGUGCAAUAGCGUCUACGUGUCUCUCUAUUUACAGUUUGGCCAUCGUGGAUCAGGGAGAUGACAGUAUGUCGCCGUGCAAAGUGCGUCAAUAAUAAGGGCUGCGGUAUACAUAACCGACAAACAGUCAUCGAACGUACACUUUAUGCAAUCGAAUACCACAUUCGGUGUAUCGCGAAUGUAUAUCAUGUACUCGCACGCACGUCAACGCGUCAUGAUCGAUUCGCCCACGAAUAAAACACCCGAAAUCCUCUUGUGCACCAUCUAUCCCGCCUUAAAACUGACCGCUUCGCGGUACACAAGUGUCGGCGCACUGAUUAUUCGGCCCGACGACGACGAGUGGAGAAGGAAAAAAAAA